rnacentral:rRNA from 1 species
GGCGAGUGGCGGACGGGUGAGUAACGCGUAGGAAUCUGCCUUGAAGCGGGGGACAACCCGGGGAAACUCGGGCUAAUACCGCAUAAUACUCUACGGAGGAAAUCUGGCUACGCAAGUAGCUGGGGCUUUAGGAGGAACCUACAUCCGAUUAGCUAGUUGGUGGGGUAAUGGCUUACCAAGGCGAUGAUCGGUAGCUGGUCUGAGAGGAUGACCAGUCACACUGGGACUGAGACACGGCCCAGACUCCUACGGGAGGCAGCAGUGGGGAAUAUUGGACAAUGGGGGAAACCCUGAUCCAGCAAUGCCGCGUGGGUGAAGAAGGCCUUCGGGUUGUAAAGCCCUUUAGGUGGGGAAGAAGGUUUUAGGGUGAUAAGCCUUAAAAUUUGACGGUACCCGCAGAAUAAGCACCGGCUAACUCUGUGCCAGCAGCCGCGGUAAUACAGAGGGUGCUAGCGUUAAUCGGAUUUACUGGGCGUAAAGGGUGCGUAGGUGGUAAAGCAAGUAAGAUGUGAAAUCCCUGGGCUUAACCUAGGAAGUGCAUCUUAAA